ACAAUACACACACUACAUGCAUACACACCAACAAUCAGAUCUCUCUCUCUAAACUCUCCCGUAUCUUUCCCUUUCACUGCCGCCCACUGCCGACGCCGGAGUCCAGUGGAGACUCCACCACUACCAACGCCAGCCUACUCUCUUCCUCCCUCCUUCCUGUCGUCCAACACCACUCACCAAGCCGCCGACCUUACUCCCUUUCCCCGCGGCCAGCCACCAACAAAACCAGCCGGAGCCGCUGCCAAACAACCGUUUCCUUUCUCUUUUCUCCUCCUUUCUCUCCCUUUAUACAUCACCAAACAACUCCAGCGAACCUCCAACACGCCACGCCGCCACUUCCCCUUCGGAAACGGUCCAGAUCAGGCCGAAUUUUGACAAUCUGGCGUCGCUCCGGCAAGAGCCGUGGAAGCGACGUUGUUCGUUUUCUCCUCUGUUUUUGGACCUUUGUCACUGUCGCCACUGUUUUGGGUUGUUACUAUUUUAUUAUUAUCAUGUUGUCAAUGUGAUGCUAUGAAAUCUAUAAAUUUGACCGGAGUUGGUUGUUCUCCGAUGAAGCUUUAUUAAAAUGGACAAAGCUCAACUAUUGUUGCUCUCUUUCGUAACUUUGAUGACUGCUUUAUAAUUUUUUUUUUGCUGUAUUUGCUUUCUGCUUUUUAAUAUUUAAUUUUAUCGUUUUGCACUGUUUUGGUCAUCUUUUUGAUGCUUACUGUUAUUUAAUAUUCGUUUUCAAGGCUUUGUUCUGUUUUUGGCUAUCUUUGCAAUGGAUGUGUUGCUGUACUCUUCAUUUUCACCCAAAAAAUUUACUCCAGAGAUGUUUUGCUUUAUUACUGUGUGGCUAAUUUUAUUUUUUUUACUGAUUUGGACAUUUGUCCUUCCAUUUUGCCUUGUUUUUUCGCCUUUUUAUUUAUUACACUAAUGGAUAAAUACUACGCUAUUGGCCAAUAAAAUUCUCUUUUUGUCAUAUUUGAGGUCACCCAUUACAAAAGAUGGAUUUUAUUUUAUCAAAAUUAUUAUUUUAUAUUAAGGGUCUAUACUUGACCAAUAAAGAAAUUUUUCAUCAAUUUUUGAGAUUUAUAUAAAUAAAAGACGGAUAUUAUAUAUAUAAAUACAUAAUAAAAUAAUAAAUUUGGGCGAUUAUGAAAUUUUUAUAACAAUGUAAAAGUUUUAUGAUUCGUAGUUUGACAAGACGAAUUAGGAGGGCUAAUAAAUCAGCAACCGCUUCAUAGCCAUGUGGUAUUUAAAAUUUAAUUUGAGCCCACCUUUUGACGAAAAAUUAUAUUUUCUAUACAUAUAUAUGCACAUACAUUCUUCAUUUAUUUUGAUAGUUGUUUAUUUGUUACUAACAUUUUACUACUAGUGUUUAUAUAGGUUAUUCGGAAUAUUUAUCGGAAAUGGCAUGCAAAAGAUUUUAAUUUUUAUGUUUGUAUUUUAUAUUUUUACACUUGUGCAAAUAGCGAUUAUAGUGAAAAUUUUAUUUUUUGGGGCAUUGGGCGGGAAUAUUCUUACUUAUACAGUAUCCAUCGUGUGUUUAGACAAAUUUAGGCAUCAAUAUUUAUAUUAAAUUGAUUUAGAUAAUUUAAUCUAAUCAUUCACACUUUUUACGUAGUCUUUCUUUAAAAUAAGUUUUCUUUAUUCGAUUUAGUCUAUUCUUUACAUAUAUACCCUAGUAUACUUUUAUUUGUAUAUUUUACGACAGCAUAUGCAUUAUAUUAUUUCAAUACAUAUUAUAUAUUUGUAUUUACAAACAUUAAUUUUUCUCUUUCAUUUUUUAAUAAACAUAAGUUUGGUCAGAAAUUACAUUUGUGGAUUUUGAAGGGUGUCUAACACCUUCCUUUCGAAAUAAUUUGAACUCUUACCUAGAAUUCAAAUUGAUUUCAUAGAUUAAAUAAAUCACACUUGUUAAAUAAAUAAAUAGAUUUCCUAUUUUUUAGUAAAAAUUAGGUGGUGACUCUGUACAAAUUAAUUCUUUUUAGAACCCAUAAUGUCGUGCUCAUUGUGACCUUACGUAAAAAUCGGGUAUGACAAUUUAGCAACUCCGCUGGGAAGCAAGGUUCUAAUCAUUACAAAUUUAGGUAAAUAUUUAUAUUUUUUAUAUAUUGUUAUUUGUUUUACACUAAUUGUCUUGAAUUAUUUUGUUUAUAUGGCAUAAAUUAUUUAUUUGUUAGUAUUUUGUAUAUAUUGUUUAUUUGUUUAUCGCUUGAUAUAAAUUGACAUUGCGUUCAUAUUUUCUCCAUUUUGAAAAAUUGACAUUCAUACACAUUGUACACGCGAAUUGUACAUUGUACUUUUUCAAAAAAAUUUCAAAUCACCUUAUUUUAGAGAGUUGGUGUAUACGUGGGGCGAGCAGGAGUUUUACUAUCGUGGAACCACGUGCUUUCUCAUAUAAGAAAUCCAAGUUCUUAUCAACCCACUCUUAGUCGGCAUAGUAUAGAGCUAAAAUAACGCAUUUUAGGUACAUGUAUAUUCGUCAAUUUAUCCAAAUGUCCAAACGACCCGAGUGAAACAUUCAUAUUCUCUGUACAUAUUUGGAAGAUGAUUGUGCAUAUAUGUUAGCUGCUUGCUUUAAGUUGGUUAUGGUUUAGUAGGGAAGGUGUAAUCUAACUUUUAUUUUGUAAAGCGGAUUAGUUAAAAGUGCACUUUUCCAAUAUUGUUGAUAGUUAUGUAUAGAUUUGAACUACGUUUCGAUCAGAUUCUUGUCCUGACAAGAUACGUAGACAGCCCUGUAUUAGAGUUCGGUCUCUUCAUUAUUUUAGAAUAAUUUUUUCGAUAUUCAAGAUUGGGGCAAGUUUUCUGGAACAGUUCAAAGACGCUCUCUAAUGUCCUUCAAGAGCUCAAAUCAAUAGCUCCUCAAAAUUCAAAUUUCAUUGACAUUAAUGUCUAGCCGUCCUACCUGUAGAUUCUCACUCAAUUUUGAUUUGAGAAUACCUAGGUUCUUCUUUCAAACAUCGUAAAUAAUUAGAUUUAUGGCGUAUCGAUCCUCACUUUCAAAAGCAAGGGUUUAACAUUUUUUCAGUUAUAAUAAUUCUGUCAAUUUCAGCGAAAUAAGGUCAUAAUUUCUUCAAUAUCUGACUUUUUUAAUCUUGUCAGCAUAUUGAAGUUGUGUUAAAGCUCUCCCCAUACUUUACAUCUAUUCUUUCAAUCAUUUGAUCAGAACAAUUUUGAUGUUAAAAGCAGUUCUUUCCUGAUUCUUUUUAUAUUAUUUUUAUGAAUGACCAUCAAUUUUUUUUACAAUCAUACAUUGUACAUACAAAUUUGCAAAUUUGUCUGAACUACGCAGACCUGAUUCUUAUUUUCACAAGAUACGUAGAUAAUCUUUAUUUGGAUUCGAUCCCAUUAUUUUAGAAAAAUAAUAAAAUUUUAACUUGGUUGGUACCAAUACAGUUAGGAGUGUGCAUGAGAAAGAACAAAAUGGUAUGAUGUAAAGGACCGAUUUCAUGGUAAACCAUAGAUUCUCUUGGUACCUAAUAUCACACCUGAGUAACGCCUGAAAAUUCUCUUGCAUACAUCUAAAACAAGAACGAAACCAACUUCAUCAUUUCAUGUGCAUUGUGUGGUUAGCUUUAGUUUAAUUCAUUGUAUUGGAUUGUUGAUCUAGAACUUGGCCUUAAUGUCUGUUGAGGCGAAAUUCUGAGUUGCACUUGAUUUAAGAAAGGAUUGUAGGCCUUCUAUGGACCGAUUGAGCUUUAUAUAGCCUACCAAAUGACAUUAACCUCUAUCAUUCCCUUUUUUAGCCUAAAACCCUUUCUUUGGACAACCAAAGCUGCGUUUAUACCUUUUUGAGUGCUUACAUGCAUUAUUCCUCUCUUGGCCCUAUCUCCUUGAACGCACUAAAUACGUACAAAUUACGGACAAAGAUUCAAGAGCAAAGACGCAAAAUGUAAAAAAAAUAUUGUCCAGAUGAACAAAAAUGAAAAAAUGACUUCAAAAGGAGCAAAACCCCACAAAAAUGAGAAAAGAAAAAAAAAGAACAAAAAAUAUGAUUUGUUGAAAAAUGGGGUAAACUCUUACACAAGGUUCAAAAGAAGUCGAAGCAAGAAGAUCACGCGUCAAAGCACAACAAAUGUUGAAAGCACAAAUAGUGUGUAAUACUUAUUGAGGAAUUAGUCACUUUUAUCCCAAAUAUUAUCCUACCCGUUCCCAAGCCUGCAUUACAAGCUAAUAGUAAGUUCUACGAGAUUUUAUUUCAAGUGUUCUCACAUUAGUGCAUACAUACAUGUAGGUCAAGCCUUUGGCACCGCAAUUGCGUGCAUUGAAUUUUUUUUUUAGUGUGGGUGUAUUUUUCUUGAUGUCCCCAAAUUCAAAAAGAAAAAUUACUCAAAUAUGUAUGAAAUGAGACUUUCUUUUACUCAAAUGUGUGAAAAGUGGGACUUUCUUUCUGGAGAAGGCACCUGAAGCACGAGGAUAUGCAUAAUUCGAAACAUUUGUUGUGUAAUCUAACUUUUAUUUUGUAAAGCGGAUUAGUUAAAAGUGCACUUUUCCAAUAUUGUUGAUAGUUAUGUAUAGAUUUGAACUACGUUUCGAUCAGAUUCUUGUCCUGACAAGAUACGUAGACAGCCCUGUAUUAGAGUUCGGUCUCUUCAUUAUUUUAGAAUAAUUUUUUCGAUAUUCAAGAUUGGGGCAAGUUUUCUGGAACAGUUCAAAGACGCUCUCUAAUGUCCUUCAAGAGCUCAAAUCAAUAGCUCCUCAAAAUUCAAAUUUCAUUGACAUUAAUGUCUAGCCGUCCUACCUGUAGAUUCUCACUCAAUUUUGAUUUGAGAAUACCUAGGUUCUUCUUUCAAACAUCGUAAAUAAUUAGAUUUAUGGCGUAUCGAUCCUCACUUUCAAAAGCAAGGGUUUAACAUUUUUUCAGUUAUAAUAAUUCUGUCAAUUUCAGCGAAAUAAGGUCAUAAUUUCUUCAAUAUCUGACUUUUUUAAUCUUGUCAGCAUAUUGAAGUUGUGUUAAAGCUCUCCCCAUACUUUACAUCUAUUCUUUCAAUCAUUUGAUCAGAACAAUUUUGAUGUUAAAAGCAGUUCUUUCCUGAUUCUUUUUAUAUUAUUUUUAUGAAUGACCAUCAAUUUUUUUUACAAUCAUACAUUGUACAUACAAAUUUGCAAAUUUGUCUGAACUACGCAGACCUGAUUCUUAUUUUCACAAGAUACGUAGAUAAUCUUUAUUUGGAUUCGAUCCCAUUAUUUUAGAAAAAUAAUAAAAUUUUAACUUGGUUGGUACCAAUACAGUUAGGAGUGUGCAUGAGAAAGAACAAAAUGGUAUGAUGUAAAGGACCGAUUUCAUGGUAAACCAUAGAUUCUCUUGGUACCUAAUAUCACACCUGAGUAACGCCUGAAAAUUCUCUUGCAUACAUCUAAAACAAGAACGAAACCAACUUCAUCAUUUCAUGUGCAUUGUGUGGUUAGCUUUAGUUUAAUUCAUUGUAUUGGAUUGUUGAUCUAGAACUUGGCCUUAAUGUCUGUUGAGGCGAAAUUCUGAGUUGCACUUGAUUUAAGAAAGGAUUGUAGGCCUUCUAUGGACCGAUUGAGCUUUAUAUAGCCUACCAAAUGACAUUAACCUCUAUCAUUCCCUUUUUUAGCCUAAAACCCUUUCUUUGGACAACCAAAGCUGCGUUUAUACCUUUUUGAGUGCUUACAUGCAUUAUUCCUCUCUUGGCCCUAUCUCCUUGAACGCACUAAAUACGUACAAAUUACGGACAAAGAUUCAAGAGCAAAGACGCAAAAUGUAAAAAAAAUAUUGUCCAGAUGAACAAAAAUGAAAAAAUGACUUCAAAAGGAGCAAAACCCCACAAAAAUGAGAAAAGAAAAAAAAAGAACAAAAAAUAUGAUUUGUUGAAAAAUGGGGUAAACUCUUACACAAGGUUCAAAAGAAGUCGAAGCAAGAAGAUCACGCGUCAAAGCACAACAAAUGUUGAAAGCACAAAUAGUGUGUAAUACUUAUUGAGGAAUUAGUCACUUUUAUCCCAAAUAUUAUCCUACCCGUUCCCAAGCCUGCAUUACAAGCUAAUAGUAAGUUCUACGAGAUUUUAUUUCAAGUGUUCUCACAUUAGUGCAUACAUACAUGUAGGUCAAGCCUUUGGCACCGCAAUUGCGUGCAUUGAAUUUUUUUUUUAGUGUGGGUGUAUUUUUCUUGAUGUCCCCAAAUUCAAAAAGAAAAAUUACUCAAAUAUGUAUGAAAUGAGACUUUCUUUUACUCAAAUGUGUGAAAAGUGGGACUUUCUUUCUGGAGAAGGCACCUGAAGCACGAGGAUAUGCAUAAUUCGAAACAUUUGUUUAAAGCAAGAUAAAAAAAAUUUGUCGAUACUUAGGCAUGUCUAAUCUACUUGAAACUAUAGAAGUUACCCUGAAGUUGAUCUCAGUUAGCUGAGAAAAUGAUGAAAAAAUUCUUAUGCACACUACUAAUAUUGGUACCAACUGAAGCCAGGAGAUGAUCGCGUCUUCUUUAUCUUUCACACUUUUUAUCAAGAAAAUAAAAAAUUCUUUCUUUCUUUUUUCAAGAUGUCCACUUUCAUAUACAGGCAUUUGUUUUACCUUUCAUUUAUGGUGUCCACUUUCACAUACAUGCAUUUCUAUUUUUAUUUGAAGGCGUUCGAUUUUGAAAUACGGGCAUUUGACUUUUUUCUUUCAAGCACAUACCUUUAAUACCGUCAUUUUAUUCUUUUUCUUAGGCACUCAUCUUGAGUAUUUAUAUUUUUUAUAGUCUUACCAGUCGAGAGGCUAUUAGAGUCCAACCAUUUCACUAGUUGAGGGUCUCUGUCUUCUUAGGCAAUAGAAGACGACAAUAAACAUCAGCCUCCAUAAGCAAUUGAAGAUAUCAUGCAUCAAAUCUUUGUAAGCAAUAGGAAACGUCAUUCUCAAGUCCUCGUAGACAAUCGGGAGACGUCAUGCACUUUUUUAGUAACAAGAUUUUUUUAAGUUUCUUUCAAAGAAGCAAUGUCAGCAUAAAUAAUACACGGGUAAAUUUUGAGAGUCACCUCAAAUUUAACCUAUUUCCUCAUUUCGCACCACAUUGACCUGAUUCUCGUAACACUCGAGAUAUGUAGGAAGCUCUAUGCAGAAUUCGAUCACCACAACCCCAUAAUCAUUCUUUCUCUCCAACAAAUAUACAAUCUUGCAUUCCCCAGCAUCUCAAAGCUUGAUACUGGGUAAUUUUUGAAAGUAGCAUUGGGAAUAUAUGAACACUUUCAUUUCUAAAUAAUUCUUUGUUCAAUAAUUAUUAUUACAGGAAAUUGUCCACCUUAAAGUAGGAUAAUUGGGUCAGUCUGCCCUCCAAAAGACAGUUGUACAUAUUUUUCUUCAAUUUAAUACUUGUUUGUCUUUACUUGCAUAUAUCGCACUUCAUUUAUUUCUUUUUGCACUGUAUGUUAUCUUUGCCUUUACCUGCACGCAUCGCAAUGUAUUUAUUUUAUCAUUUGUUAUUUAAGCACUGUAUAUUUUCCUUGUCUUUAUUUGCACAUCUCACAAUGCAUUUAUUUUAUUAUUUAACAUUGCAUGUUAUUUUUUGCCUUUGUUGGAACAUAUCGCAAUGCAUUUAUUUUAUCAUUUAAGCAUUGUAUUUUAUCUUUGCCAUUAUUUGCAUGCAUCGCAAUGAAAUUAUUUUAUCGUUUAAACAUCGCAUUCUAUUUUUGCCUUUACUUACACACAUCACAAUGCAUUUAUUUUAUCAUUUAAGCACUACAUGUUAUUCCUGCAUUUACUUGCAUGCACCGCAAUGCAUUUAUUUAUUUUAUCAUUUAAGCACCACAUGCUAUAUUUAUCUUUAUCCGCACACAUCGCAAUGCAUUAAAGCAUCGCAUGUUAUUUUUGCUUUUAUCUGCACCUCGUAAUGCACUUAUUUUAUCAUUUAAGCACCGCAUGUCAUAUUUGUCUUUAUCUACGCAUAUUGCUAUGCAUUCAUUUUAUCAUUUAGGCACUGCACGCUUAGCAAAUAUUGCAAUGCAUUUAUUUCAUCAUUUAAGUACUGCAUGUCAUUUUUGCUUUUACUGGUUCAUAUAGCAAUGCAUUUUGUUAUUUUAGCACUACAUGCCUCGCAAAUAUCGUAAUGCAUUUAUUUUAUUAUUUAAGCAUCGCAUGUCAUUCUUGCUCGUACUUAUUGCAAUGUAUUUAUUUUAUCAUUUCAGCAUUGCAUGUCAUUCUUAUCUUUUUUGGCGCAUAUUGCUAUACAUUUAAGCACUGCACGCACAUAACGUAAUGCAUUUAUUUUAUCAUUUAAGCACUACAUGUCUCGCAAAUAUCGCAAUGCAUUUAUUUCAUCAUUUAAGCACUGCAUGUCAUCUUGACCUUUACCAGCAUAUAUUGCAAUGCAUUCGCCUUAUCAUUUAAGCACUGCAUAUCAUUUUUGUCUUUACUUUCACAUCGUAAUAUAUUUAUUUUGUUAUUUAAGCACUGUAUACUUUGUCUUUACCUGCACAUACCGCAAUUCACUUAUUUUACCAUUUAAGCACUGAAUGUUAUCUUUGCCUAUACCAUUUUUUUUUCUUAUUUAGUUAAGACUACAUAUUAUCUUUAAAUUCUCAAAAAAAAAAUAAAGAAAAAAAAGGAAAAAAAGAAAAAAACAUCCACUUUAAUUUUUUCUAAAAUUUUUGCAAGCAGGAAUUGGAUUUAUCCACCCUAAAAUAGAAUAUUUUGGAUUAAUCUGCCCUCUAAUAAGACCUUUAUGCGAGUCUACCUUCAGUUGAAUAUUUUGCUUGUCUUUGAUUUCAAUUGUGCAAUGAUCUUAUUUAUUUAUCCUUACAUUAGUUAAAGCAUUACAUAUCUUUUUUGGAAUCUCUUGAAAAAAAAUAAACAAAAAUCAAGCUUAGUUACUUGUUUGUCUACUGUUUUUCAAUUUUAUAAAUUUUGCAAGCAUAGAAUUCGAGAACGCAUUGGGUAUAUUCAACCCAAAAUACGCUAUGUCGGGAUAGCUUUUGAACUAUACCCUACCUGCUCUCCAUGCAACUUGAAGCAUUUAGACGACUCUAAAUUGGAGUUCACACGAUUUUUUUUAUCAACAAUAAUUUUUUGUCGAGCGAAAUUAGCUACACGUCAACGUUUUUGUUUGAAUAUUUCUACAUUAUCUUCAAACGAAAAGGAGCAAACUAUUGACACCCAAUUUUGACUCUCCAAAUAUAAAAUUAACGGAUUUAAGCUUCCUGAUCGUUAAAUGACACAAUAUGUAAUUUUUCAAAUAUUUUUUGCAAUUGUUAAUAAAUUGUUGAUAAUCAUCAUUAUUUUAUAAUUUUUACUCAUUUAUUAUCAUAUUUUAAUUUUAUAUGAUUUAUUAAUAACUAUCUUUAAUUUCAUAAAUUUUAAAAUUUUAUCAGUUUAUUAUUAUUUUGAUAUUUUUUGCACAGUCCUCUACAUACGUAUAUAACAUAGCACUACAAUUCUUUAUGGCGUAGUAUAAUUCUAAUCAUUUAUAGCAUAAUAUAUUUUUUCAAGACAAUUAUAUUUUUUAUUUGUUGUUUAUAUUUUUUCUGUAAUUAUACAUCAAUAUUUAUAUUUUUAUAUAUUAUUUAAUAUGACUUAUAAAUAUGAGUUGAUUUAAUUAUUUUAAUACAUAAAAUAAUAAAUUAAUUAAAUCAAAAUUUUAUUAUUUUUUUUAAUUUUUUGACUUUAUUUCACUCAUUAUUCCUAACAGUAUUAUUUUUUUUUCUUUUUUAAAUACUCCCCACCACACAGUUCACACAUACUACACUCAUAUUCACCAACAAUCAGAUCUUUCUCUCUCUUUUUAAACUCUCCCGUACCUUUCCUUUUCACUGCCGCCCACUGCCGACGCCGGAGUCCUGUGGAGACUCCACCACUACUAACGCCAGCUUACUCUCUUCCUUCCUCCUUCCUAUCGGAGCUGCUGCCAAACACCCAUUUCCUUUCUCUUUUCUCCUCAUUUCUCUCCCUUUCUCCAUCCCCAAACAACACCGGCAAACCUCCAACACGCCACGCUGCCACUGCCCCAUCGAAAAUGGGCCAGAUAUAGCCGAAUUUUGACAAUCCGACGUUGCUCCGGCAAGAGCCAUGGAAGCAACGUUGUUCCUUUUCUCCUCUGUUUUUGGACCUUUGUCACUAUCGCCACUGUUUUGGGUUGUUACUAUUUUAUUAUUAUCAUUUUGUCAAUGUGAUGCUAUGAAAUCUAUAAAUUUGACCGGAGUUGGUUGUUCUCCGAUGAAGCUUUAUUAAAAU
rnacentral:lncRNA from 1 species